rnacentral:rRNA from 1 species
GACGAACCGUGCGAACGUUGUUCGGAAUCACUGGGCUUAAAGGGCGCGUAGGCGGGCUGUCAAGUCUGGGGUGAAAUGCCGCGGCUCAACCGUGGAACUGCCUUAGAUACUGACGGCCUCGAGGAAGGUGAGGGGCAUGCGGAACUGUAGGUGGAGCAGUGAAAUGCGUUGAUAUCUACAGGAACUCCGGUGGCGAAAGCGGCGUGCUGGACCUUUUCUGACGGCUGAGGCGCGAAAGCUAGGGGAGCAAACGGG